GCCUGACGGGAGGUGGCUGGAUCACGGGGGUGGACUUCUCAUGUUUUAGUACCAUCCCCUUGGUGCUUCCUCGUGAUAGCAAAGGGGCGAUGGAUCCUGCUUCUCGGGUCUGUAUGAGAUGAGAUGAAAUGACAAUUCCUAAUAUGGAUGAGGAAGUGGAGCAACAGAGACUCCCAGGCUGCCAGUGGAGCUGCUGUGGAGAAUGGUUUGGCAAUAUUUAAUGCAUGCCCCAGAAAAUCAGUAGUCCCAUUUCCAGGGGAAAGCAUGAACACAGCCCCCAUGACCACAGAUGACGCAGCCGAGUUUCCCACUUUUGGGGAAAUUGCAGGGGUCAGCACGUCUGGAGUGCAGUGGAUAAGCCUCACCCCAGGAAGACCACUUUCGUGAUCACGGCAUCUCCCCUGCCAGCUUUGAAGCAUGUGAACGCCAGCACCUACCCUGUUCUUGAGGAAAUCCAGCGUUCCCUUGAUACUUGACCUUAUCUAAACAGGACUGCCACGGAGACUUUACUCUGCAAAAGCAACAAUUUCAUCUUCACAAAGUUUCAAAUGGGAAGCUGGGCUAAGAGCUGCGCGGUUCCUGAGCCUCUCGUUCCGGGAGAAUCUUGGAGGUUCAAGGCCUUGCUUGCCUGAGAGGUGCUGAGCAGUGGCACAGGGUCAUUGCUCGCUGUGUUAACGCGUGAGUGAGUGAACAGUGAACACCUGCAAGGUUAAUACUGCACUGGUUAAAGAAUUUCAAUUAAAAUGAAAUGAAGCCAUUUUAAAUCCAUCAAAUUCAUUCAUUCAUUCAUAAUAAAGUGAUUAAUCAUUAUAAAGAGAGCAAUAGUAGUUUA
rnacentral:lncRNA from 10 species